AGUGACACAAGCACCCGCAAGCACCGUACAGCCGGUAUUUUCAAAAGAGGAUAUAUAUAUUAUUACCAUCGUGGCAUUGCUGGCAUUAAUAGUGGCAUUAAGCAUCGGAUGGUACCUGCACUGCAGAUACAUGCUCGUAGCAGAGAAUUUUAAAAUAGAGACACCCUCGGAUAUUGACAUAGAGAAGGGGCCUGAUACUGAGCAGCCAAAAGUAGCGCCAGCAGAAAUGUAAGUAAAGCUUGUCCGCCUGAAAUAGGCUUUUUGGUUUUUUUUAUUUAACUUAUAUGCAAUAAUAUUCCCUUACUGUAAGUAGUCCUUCACCAUCUGUACACUACUUAUUUUUGUGCAGAAGUCAGAAACAGGAUCCACCAGAAACUAGUAAGGCAAUAUCUGAACGCCAGAAGAAGAAGGAUAAGAAGAACAAUAAGGAUAAGAAGGAUAAUAAGGAGAAGGAUAAUAAGGAUCAGAAGAAGAAAAAGAAGAAAGCACAGAAAAAUAAAGAUGGCUGUGCUAAUACAACAGAGCAGAAAUGAAUAUGCCACAUUUAAUUUCCAUCAGUGAAUAUAGUGAAGAUGGCGGCGGCAGAGCAGAGUAUAAGUGGAUCCAUGUUGAAGAAAAUCUGCCUGCUGAUGGAAUUGCACCGUUGUAUUUCCUUUACUAUGUAAUUUAAUCACAAAUAAAAGGUUUAAC